AGGUCCUGGAGGUGUGGCUGAGCUACCUGCAGCCAUGGUGGUAUGCAGCUGACAAGCAGGCUGCCAGCAGCAACUCCCAGCCCCAGUGUGUCUGAGAAAUGUCUCCUGAGCUGUCAUCCAUAACACUGCACAGUUAAGGCUGAGACCGGCUGGACCCUGCCUGCCCUGCAGCCACCAGGCACCAGGCACUGGGUGGAAGACCGCAGUUCGAGCAGCUGUUCCCGGAGCCGGAGCUCGUCAUCCCCCUACCGCCAGCACCGACUCUUCACAGCCUGCACAUUCGCCAGCAGCAUCCUGUCAUAGUGGCCACCAGUGGUCACUGAUGCCUCCUUCAAUGUGAAGAGUCACAUCUAUGGCCUGGAGGGCCAGGACUGCAAGUACACCCGAUGUUCGGGCCCGAGGCUUACACCCUGGUCCUGCACCUUACUCAGCUCAUCACGCAGGCCAAGCACACGGCCAGGUCCAUCUCGGACCAGUGUGUGGAGACUCCAGCUGGCCACUCCUUCCUGUUGUGGCUGGGCUUUGGCCCCACAGACACCAACGGCUCCUAUUCAGCCAUGACCUGGGCGAGAUGGGGCAGGACAGCGUCCAGAAGAUGGACGAGUGCCUGGAGGAGGCCCUGGCGUACCUGCGCCAGAUAUUCCGACUCAGUGAAGUGCAGCUCACGCAGAGUCUCUCACACUUGCCUUGGACACCAUCCAGGAUGAGAAUGGAAAGAAGCAGCUCCGGACUGCAUCGCGGGUGAGGACAGACUCAUCCCCACGCCCCUGGGCCAGUACCAGGUGAG
rnacentral:lncRNA from 1 species